GUUGUUUUGGGAAUAAGUGUGGUCUCCUGGAAGAUUAUGAUGAAUUGGCUAGUUGGUUCCUCUUCUUGUUUGUUUUUGUAUAUAUGUUGUGUUAUCUUGUCUCUUAGAGUUGUGUUCUGAAAAGAGAGAAAAGAAAAGAGACAAGAUGAAAAAAAAAAGAAAAAAAAUAUAGAAAAAUGAAAAAAGAAAUUGUGAAUAAAGGAGUCAAGAAGAGGAUGGAAUUAGAGGUUUUGGGUGUGAGUAUAUUGUGUUUUCACUUGUUCCCCAUCGCUCCUCUAUUUCCUUUGGUUUGUAGCUUCUCACCCAUAUUUAUCCUCCCUUUUCCUUGACCCCAUUGCAUCCAUAAAAGACCUUUUGAUUUGAACAUGCAUAUAUGUUUUGAGUGUUGAUAUUAGAGGCUUGCCAAGACUGUUUGUUGCCUGCUUUCUUGAGUGCAUUGAGUUGAAUUGUUUACCCUAGAAACUUGAGAGAAACACUGAUAGUAUAUCUGUGAGGUUCUGUUACUUUUGAUUCUCCUCUUGAACUGAUUGAUUAUUUUGCCAUGCUUGGAAUUGCUUGGAUAAUUUCUCUGAGUAUCUGUUUUCUCUGACUCUGUGCGGGAUACUGUCCACUUCCUUUCAUCGUCCAGAUUUCUUGAGAAUUGUGAAAUUCUGUUUGUUUCUUUCAUUGUGAGUCUUUGUUGUCUGUCUGCUGACUCUGUGUCAAUUCCUUGAUGUCCGUUGACCUGUUCCCUGAUUUGCGUCUUGAUUUUGCCCAGGAGUGCAAAAGACUAAGUGUGGUCUAUUUUGAUGAGUCGAUAUUUUAUUGAUUUCACUUAGUUUAUUGUACCGAAUUUAAUCAGGGAAUUGUGCUUAAUUGUCCGGUAUUUUCCCGUUUUUCCAAAUU
rnacentral:lncRNA from 1 species